AAAUCAUAUGCCCCGUAUGCUUAGGGCCACACACGGGCUACAAUGGGAUAUACAGAGUGUUGCCAAGCCGUAAGGUGGAGCUAAUCCCUUAAAGCUACUCUCAGUUCGGAUUGUAGGCUGAAACGCGCCUACAUGAAGCUGGAGUUACUAGUAAUCGCAGAUCAGAAUGCUGCGGUGAAUGCGUUCCCGGGUCUUGUACACACCGCCCGUCACACCACGGGAGUUGGA
rnacentral:rRNA from 1 species